rnacentral:lncRNA from 1 species
CUUCUGAAUGGACUCAAUGUGCUACACAGAGUUGUGUCGGGGUAGAAGUUGCAAUCAGAUGUCUCUUGAAGUAACAUGUCAUCCAGAGUCCACUCCCCAUUGGAUGAGUCAUUCACUGGUCUUCCAACAAAACAGAUGGUGAGCAGUGGAGAAGUCAGGGAAAGUGAAGAAAAUGAAAGAGGGAGGUGAGAAAGAAUUUUGACAUCAAGAUGUGUG